CAAAGAAUUAUUUAGGCCAAAAUGUUAAUAGUUUACACAGGUAUUAAUGCAAUAUGAUUCCUCCCAGUGUUAGAAUGUCAAACUGAACAAAUUCAAUGCAAAGUAACUAUGACUCUCUUAAGGUAGCCAAAUGUCUCAUCAUCUAAUUAGUGAUGAGCAUGAGGGGAUGAAUGA
rnacentral:ncRNA from 1 species